AUGUGAAGGAACGUUUAGCUAAAGCCAACACAGGAGAGAGGAUGUUCUGCUAAAGCAAGCACGUGAAAGGACACGUGAUGAAGGAUCCUUCGCGAACAACACGCAUGGAUCGGUCCGCCUUACAUUGCGUGGGCGAGCCGCCUUUGUUAGGACUCCAGAGAGAAACGCACUGGCAAACCUCUGCUGCUGUAUUGCAGUUUCCUGACCUUUUCACAGACUCAAGCUGAUUGGCAGAGUGAUGUCAGCUGAGUCAGAUGCGCGUGCUAGGCAAGACCCGUGGAGGACACGAGCUGUUCGGAGAGAGUAUCGAAAGGACCCCACGGACAGUGACAGGGGCUGAGCUUGGCUUGCUUAUAGAGCUAGCUUUGCAAUGCCUGUGGGUCUCACGUCUUCGCCCAUCUUUGCUUUGCUGAGAGACACAGCUGGGAAUGUCUCUUGGCGACCCUUCGGGUCCUUCCUGCCGACUGGUGCCAAGGCUGAGGCCUGGCUGUAUCUGCUAGGUCAUGCCAACACUGCUGAUUCAUGUUUGCUAUCCCAACUCUCCCAAACUGGACUGCUGGUGUAUCCAUGAAGGGUUUUUGAGUGGAUUGAGCUACUGCUGACCAGUGAACUGAACUGCGGGUUCCCAGACAACACAGACAAGAGUUGCUCCAAAGAACCUUUCUAAACAGGUCCAUCUCCCCCGUAUCCUUUCUUCUCCACUACCUCAGAACAUAUUUGAAAAACUCUUUCAUGGAAAACAAAAGCACCAAGACACCGCGUGAGAAAAUGCUUCCAGUCACCCAAUGCAAGUGAACUGUGGUUCUCCAACUGCUCCGUGCCGGCUGCCGAUUGUGUCCACUUGACACAAGCUAGAGUCAUGUGCGAAGAAGAAACCUCAAUUGCGCAAACUCCUUGGUACGAUUGGGCACUGUAUCAGUGAGGGAAUGAUGGAAGAGAGCCUAGUCUGUUGUGGAUGGUUCCGUCCCUAGGCAGUUGGUCCUAGGUUCUAUAAGAAAGCAGGCUGCGAAACCCUUGGGUAGAAAACCAGUCAGCAACCUUCCUCCAUGACCUCUGUAUCAGUUCCUGCCUCCAAGUCCUACCCUGUUGGAGUUCCUGUCCUGACUCUGUCCUGACUUUCAUGUAAGCUGUAAGACAGAAUAGCCCAUUGCUUCUCUUGGUCAUGGUGUUUUGUCUCAGCAGUAGAAACCUCAACUAAGACAUCUUACUCCAUCUCAUGCUUAGAAUCAGAGUAUUUACCCUCACAAGUGUUGCAGGAAAAAGCUUGCUCUGUCUGUCUGUCUGUCUGUCUGUCUGUCUGUGUUGGCAUAUGUGUGUCUCUCUCUCUCUCUCUGUGUGUGUGUACUUUAAGUUGACCUUGGGUAUAUUUCUGGAUUGUAAUUACCCUGGAUUCAGCAUCUCCGUGCAGUGUGUGAGAGUGUCACAGCCCCACACUAGUUGUUGACAUCGCCAGCUUACAUAAUCCUGCCACCACAAUGCAUGUGAAGUGAUAGUUCAUUGUGGGUCUCACGUGCAAUUGCUCAAUCAAGAAAUGACCCAAAUUCUUGGUCUGCAGGAGAAAUGUCUCCUGGAUUCAUGUGACUGAACAAUUGGUCUCUGGUUGGAGGUGCUAUUUGGGGGAGAUUUAGGUAGUAGAGGCUUCUGGAGGGAGACUCGCAUUGGGGUAAACUUUGAGGGUUUAUACCCCCUCCCCACUUUCAGUUUGCUCUCUUCACUACAUGUUUAGGGUUGAAAAUGUGGUCGCUCAGCUUCCUAAGCCACUUACCCGCUGCCAUGCCUCCCCCACCCUGUCCAAAUAAAAUCUUCCUUCUCU
rnacentral:lncRNA from 1 species